UACGAAGGGGGCUAGCGUUGCUCGGAAUUACUGGGCGUAAAGGGCGCGUAGGCGGCACUGUUAGUCAGGCGUGAAAGUCCUGGGCUCAACCUGGGAACUGCGCUUGAUACGGCAGAGCUAGAGGAUGGAAGAGGGUCGCGGAAUUCCCAGUGUAGAGGUGAAAUUCGUAGAUAUUGGGAAGAAACACCGGUGGCGAAGGCGGCGACCUGGUCCAUUACUGACGCUGAGGCGCGACAGCGUGGGGAGCAAACAGG
rnacentral:rRNA from 1 species